rnacentral:tRNA from 2 species
GGCCAGGUAGCUCAGUCGGUAGAGCGCUGCUCUGAAAAAGCAGAGGUCCCCGGAUCGACGCCGGGCCUGGCCA